AGAAGAAGAAGAAGAAGAAAGGCAAGAAUUUUUUAUUUUUGUCGUUGAUCUCUUCCCUUAGGCUGGUUGUGGAAAUGGCCACCUUUGGAGGAACUCAACAAAAAUGUAUGGCCUGUGAAAAAACUGUGUAUCUUGUUGAUAAGUUGACUGCUGAUAAUAGGAUUUACCAUAGAACCUGCUUUAGAUGCCACCAUUGCAAGGGUACCCUUAAGCUAAGCAACUACUGUUCUUUCGAAGGGGUUUUGUACUGCAGGCCUCACUAUGAUCAAAUCUUCAAGCGAACUGGAAGUCUUGACAAGAGUUUUGAAGGAACACCCAAAAUUGCCAAACCAGAAAAACCAGUCGAUCAUGAGAAUGCAAGCAAAGUGUCAAACAAGUUUGCAGGCACCAGAGAGAAAUGUGUGGGUUGCAGUAAGACUGUUUACCCUAUUGAGAGGGUGACUGUGAAUGGAACUCCAUACCACAAGAGCUGCUUCAAGUGCACGCAUGGAGGGUGUACUAUAAGUCCAUCAAACUAUAUUGCACAUGAGGGAAAACUCUACUGCAAGCAUCACCAUAUCCAACUCUUCAAGGAGAAAGGAAACUACAGCCAGCUCGAGACAGAGAGAGAACCAGCAGUCACCACAGAGAAAAUCACAGCCAUGGAAAUUGCUGCUGAAUCAUAAUAAUUAAAUCAACUGAUCAAAUAAUAAAAGCAGCUUCUUGUCUGUUAUUGCCUCUCUACAGAGUACGUGUUAUUGCAUUGUCUUGAUGGGUUAAGGUUGAUGUUUUUUCAACUGUAAGAUUGGUGCUCCAUGGCUACGAUUGUGGACACUUAAAAUGUCUUAACUGGUUUUUUCUUGUGGGGUUGAGUGGAGAUAAAGAUACAAUGGAAUAUGUCCGUACAAGUUUUGUUUCAGUAUUUUCUUGAUACAUAUGAAGAUACCCUUUUUAUGUCCUGAGCUAUAUUAUCAAUAUUAUCAACCCUGCAAUCAAAUUACUAGGACUCCAAUUGAUAGAGCAAAAAUUUAUAGAGUUGA
rnacentral:misc_RNA from 1 species